GUCUGGCGCGCGCCCCGCCCCCCCUUCCUGACUGCUGGGGGCGGGGGCACCGCCGCGCAAGGCCUCCCUGAGCGCGUUGGACCGUGGCCGGGCGCUGAGGCUCUGGAGGGUAGUGCCCGUGAAGUUCUCCCUGAGACCUGCCGGGCGUCACCCGCUUCUCUCUGGACGUUGACUUGGAGAGGCCACUAUCCUGGUGCCAGCUUUGGCGGUGCCAACGCCAAGAACCCGGACAUCCUGCUGGCACCUAAUCAAAUGGUGAUUUAUGAAUGGAUGAGAAGUAACCACCGUGCCCCCAGAAUGGUUCAGCUCAAGUAAUUACAAGUAAUUAUUGAGUGCCUCCGACCGUUGGUGUCCGGAAAGCGACGUGCCAGUGACCAGUGGUGGUAAGACUAGACGUAGAACCCAGGACACAGCAAGGAUAUAUGACUGGCUAUGGCCCAAAGAAGCAGCACUGAAUUGAAUUUUGGGCAACAGUAAUACAAUACCUGCUUCCCAGUACACCUUAGAAAGAAACUUAAAUCAACCAGAGUGUUCCUGUACCAGACAAGUCCUAACACCCAGA